rnacentral:rRNA from 1 species
CCGAAGGUGUAUUGAGGAAGGCUGUCCCUAGUACGAGAGGACCGGGACGGACGGAGCUCUGGUGUGUCUGUUGUCCUGCCAAGGGCAUGGCAGAUUAGCUACCUCCGGAAGGGAUAACUGCUGAAAGCAUCUAAGUAGGAAACCCGUUCCAAGAUGAGUACACCCAUGCGGUUAACGCAGUAAGGCCCGUGACGAGACCAUCACGUUGAUAGGCCGGAGGUGUAAGUGUGGUAACACACUUAGCCGACCGGUACUACUCGGCCGAGGGCUUGGAUUU